UUUUUGCGAUUGUGUUCUUUAUUACACUCCAGAAAAUAAAUGUAUUUUUAUACUGAUAUUUUUUCAAUGGUAGUUCAUGUUUAGAAUUUCAAUUGUAUGCAUAUUUGAAUGCAUACUAGGCAUAUAUAUGUAUAUUAGAAGUAUUUAGCAUCAAAAUUUUGAACUCUGUGACACUCGUACAACAAUAUUUUGCUGGUUAAAAACCUUGAAUAUUUGAAAACAGUUCAACAGUCAGCUGAUGUUAGGGGUGGUUCUAGCAGACAUUUGAGAGAAUGUACAUGUUUGCAAUUUCUCUAUGAUAAUCAUUGUUUUUUGUUUUUUAGAAAAUCAAUGUCUGUAUGUUCUACCCACACAUAAUGCCAUUUUACACAGCGAAUACAGUCAUACCUGUACUUAAAGACCACCACCUGCCUCAUUGGACCACCUUCAUAUAAGAGCAGUUUUGGCUGUCCAAGGAAUGGUUUUAUAACAUAUACAGGCUUACAUUAGUCUGUACAAUAUUUUAGUUCAGGCAAAAAGAUCAAACAAAGUACUAAGCUUAUAUACCUCACUAUGUUUAAUGAAAGUCUUUUGAACAAAAUUUGAAAGAUCGUGACUCAGUAAUGGGCUUCCAUUUGUGCUCAUUUCAACUGGUAGAUAAAAAUUUUAUAGGGUCUUUAAAAAUAUAAUGAAUUUUGAAAGAGGCUAACAUUGGCCUUUAUGCAUUAUUUAUAUAACAAAAGUUUUUUCUCUGCAGUCAACAUGUUUUGAAAGUUGUAUUGAUCACAUUCUCUACAUUUUAUCACAAAAAAAGCAUUCUUUUCUACCUAAACAAGUUAGGUGAAAAUAAACCGUUUGAAAUAAUCUGGUACA
rnacentral:lncRNA from 1 species